rnacentral:rRNA from 1 species
AACCCUUGUCCUUAGUUGCCAGUCAUUCGAGUUGGGCACUCUAAGGAGACUGACCGGUGUUAAACCGGAGGAAGGUGGGGAUGACGUCAAGUCCUCAUGGCCCUUAUGUCCAGGGCUACACACGUGCUACAAUGGCCGGUACAAAGGGCUGCAAGACCGUGAGGUUGAGCGAAUCCCAGAAAGCCGGUCUCAGUUCGGAUUGGAGUCUGCAACUCGACUCCAUGAAGUUGGAAUCGCUAGUAAUCGCGGAUCAGCAUGCCGCGGUGAAUACGUUCCCGGGCCUU